rnacentral:rRNA from 1 species
AAUCAACGCUGGCGGUGUGCCUCAGACAUGCAAGUCGAACGAUUAAAGCUCUCUUCGGAGAGUGUAUAGAGUGGCGCACGGGUGAGUAACACGUAAGUAAUCUACCUUCGAGUGGGGAAUAACGUCCGGAAACGGACGCUAAUACCGCAUAAUGCAGCGGCAUCGCAAGAUGACAGUUGUUAAAGAUUUAUCGCUUGAAGAGGAGCUUGCGGCAGAUAGCUAGUUGGUAAGGUAAUGGCUUACCAAGGCUACGAUCUGUAACCGGUCUAAGAGGACGGUCGGUCACACUGACACUGAAUAACGGGUCAGACUCCUACGGGAGGCAGCAGUCGGGAAUUUUGGGCAAUGGGGGAAACCCUGACCCAGCAACGCCGCGUGAAGGAUGAAGUAUUUC